rnacentral:rRNA from 1 species
UGCCACCUACGGGACGCAGCAGUGAGGAAUAUUGGUCAAUGGUCGGGAGACUGAACCAGCCAAGCCGCGUGAGGGAUGAAGGUACAGAGUAUCGUAAACCUCUUUUGUCAGGGAACAAAGGCGGGGACGCGUCCCCGGAUGAGUGUACCUGAAGAAAAAGCAUCGGCUAACUCCGUGCCAGCAGCCGCGGUAAUACGUAGGGUGCGAGCGUUAAUCGGAAUUACUGGGCGUAAAGGGUGUGCAGGCGGCUGAGUAAGACAGAUGUGAAAUCCCCGGGCUUAACCUGGGAACCGC